AUACCCACUUUGGCGAAAGCAACUUAUGCAUUCGUUCUCGCCCCAAGCAUCAUGUCGUCGGCCGCCCGACACAAAACAAGGAGUAGGAAACAAAUGAAAAUUAAACUUAGCCUCUAAUCACAUUAGAGACGUCCCAACUUAACCCAAUCACAUGCUUUCGCUAACUUUGAUUCCACGUCACUCACGUUUCCUAGAUCCUUAAGGUCUUCCAAUCCUAAGGGUCUCUAGGUCAAUUCCUAUUCUUUCACUCUUGGCUCUGAUACCACGAUAUCUGUCACGCCCCAGGACCGAUACCAAUUUGGGCCGGCCCGAGCACAUCAAAUAGACGUCGAACGGACAGAGUUUCCCCUGUCCGCCCAAGGCUCAUCACCUGUACAUUUUCAAACAAGAAGUGCACUAGCGGAAACAUACACAAACGGCUUAUACGAGGGUAAGCAAUAGUCAUGAGUGAAAGAUAGGAAACUAAACAUCAUGAGUAUUAUGAUUCGACUUUUGAUCACAUACAUUGCAUUUGCCUCAAAGUAAAACUUUACAUUUCAUUACAUCAAAUGCAUCAUUUCUUUUUACAUCACAAUGCCUCAAAAUAAACUUUACAUUCUUUUCUUUCUUUGGUCAUACGUUAACAUCUUAAAAUCAUCAACUACAAAAGAUGAUAAAAGGGUAUACUACUAACAAAAUGUAAACCCGACUUGGUAGUCACUGUCUAUGGCGCGAUACCUUUACCGCGGUCGCUCGCCGGCUCGCUCGGUCCCGGCUCUGUGGAAUAGUGGGGUGAGAAUUACAACGAAGUUCCCAGUGGGUUCGGCCCCAACCUUACCGACUUUCCCACUAGGAC
rnacentral:lncRNA from 1 species